CAGAACGGAGACAUUCUUCUGCACAGGAUGCUGUUAUUUGUGUGCAGUCUAGAAUUGCAGAGGUUGGAUUUGAAGCUGGUGCUGCAAUUGUUGUGAUACUUUUAGUACCCUCACAACAGAUAUGCUGUCUGUUGGGUGAAGGUGGUAGUAUUAUUGCUGAAAUGAGAAGACCCGUAGGUGCCUGCCAGUAUACGUACAUUUGCAAAGGAGCAGGUUCCAAAAUGUGGCGCCCAAAAUGAUGAACUUAUGAAGGUUAUCUGGAGCUUGCAAUCUGUUCAAGAUGCUUUAUUUCAUAUUACCGGUAGGCUUCAGGAGAUUUGCUUUCCAACGAAAUUACCUUAUCCGAACAUUGGUGCGUGGUCCAGUGGCUGUUUGAAAGUCCACAGAGAUGAAGACUCUGAGACAUGGCAGAGAAUGAUUCGACUGGAUGCUGUGAGGACCAACAGAGAAUGGAUUGUUUACUCUCCUUCCCAGGCUGCUAUGUCCAAGGACAGGGCACACAGUCUAGCAGAUGCAGUGGACUAUGAGCACUUGGAACCCUGUAGAGUCUUUUGUGCAGCGUGCCUAGUUGCAAUAUUUGAAGCCCAUGCACUCUGUGAUGACGAGAUUGGGUAUGAGCAACCUUCUGUCGUUAUGAGGGAUUCUGGUACUUUGUGGGAUUCAUGAAGAAAGCCACAACUUCAGGCUGGAGGAAGGCGGAUUCAGAAGGCAGUUAAACACUGUUGCGAAUAUUAUGAAGUUUUUUUUUUUGAUGGAAAAAAUCAUAUAUUAACACUAGCAAAUGUAAUACAACAGAUUUACAUAAUCAGUUUUAUCAAACGAAUUGGAAUCUAUGCUAGACUUGUGAA